AAUGCUGCUUCCCAAUUAUCAAUGGUCAUCAAAACCAACAGAAGAAAACAAAGAUUUAUCACAGAUAAGGUUUACCUCACCAACUGGGUGUUUUCCCUCUGCUUUCAGCAGUCCACUGUCCAGCACUGUUGCCCAGCUACUGAAACGUCUGGAAUCACUUGCAGACAACAUGAACAGAUAUCUGUUUUGAGUGCCUUCUGUCCUCAGUGUAGAAGUUAAAGUAGUGUUCAAUAUCACCUUGGGGAUUUCGUCUUUUGUGAUGUGUGAUGCUGCGUGGUGGCUUUUUGAUGAAUUUUGCAUGGAGAAUUACGAGAAUUUGUGUAAGGGGCAUGCAGCCUAGUGUCAACUAUUGUGUUAUAAAUCCUAGCACAGACUGAUCCUAGUAUCCUACUGAAUAUGUCAUUCAAAUGACAGAGAUCACCAACCCUAGAAUGGACAUUCUCUCAUUCCAUCUUCUAGAGAACCUUGGAUAACUGAUUGGUGGUUUUGUGUGUCUCUAAUCUUGCACGCCAGCCUUUAUGAGAAGUCAUGUCCUUUGAAGAAAAGGGACAAUGACUUUACAGUCAACAAGGUCCUUUGUUUGGUAACCCGUUGGCUGCUACCCUUGAACAUCCCUUUUUACUUCCUUAAACAGGCCCUCUUGAUUUGAGGGUAACUUCUUCGCUACUUAUCAUGGACUUCAUCCAUUGGUGAAAACUGAAAAGAGAAAGCUGUAAUUCAGAUGUCUAAGCCGGAAGCCCGAUAAGCUCUAAGCCUACUAUGGAUAAUCGCUCUCGUAAUAACUGUUCCUCACAUCUUCGCUCUUUUUCCGGUUUCUCUUAACCAUUUGCCAGGUAGUCAAUUAAGACAGUGAUGUCUCCCCCUGUCUUGAUUGUGUGCGAGUUUCAAAAGCAGUUUAUCACCCAAAUGAGAUAAAAGGAGUUGGUUAGGUUUGUUUUAUACGGGUGUAAACUGCUUUAAAAUUUGCACAGAACAACAUUUGUCUUGUACCGGACGCUUUGUUUAUUAAAUUUCAAUCAUUUUUGCCAAAA